rnacentral:rRNA from 1 species
UACAGAGGUCCCAAGCGUUGUUCGGAUUCAUUGGGCGUAAAGGGCGCGUAGGCGGUCUGUUAAGUUCGGUGUGAAAUCCCCUGGCUCAACUGGGGAACUGCGCUGGAAACUGGCAGACUCGAGUACCGGAGAGGAGAGUGGAAUUCCUGGUGUAGCGGUGAAAUGCGUAGAUAUCAGGAGGAACACCGGUGGCGAAGGCGGCUCUCUGGACGGAUACUGACGCUGAGACGCGAAAGCGUGGGGAGCAAACAGG